UUAUCGGAGAGUUUGAUCCUGGCUCAGGACGAACGCUGGCGGCGUGCCUAAUACAUGCAAGUCGAGCGGACAGAUGGGAGCUUGCUCCCUGAUGUUAGCGGCGGACGGGUGAGUAACACGUGGGUAACCUGCCUGUAAGACUGGGAUAACUCCGGGAAACCGGGGCUAAUACCGGAUGGUUGUCUGAACCGCAUGGUUCAGACAUAAAAGGUGGCUUCGGCUACCACUUACAGAUGGACCCGCGGCGCAUUAGCUAGUUGGUGAGGUAACGGCUCACCAAGGCGACGAUGCGUAGCCGACCUGAGAGGGUGAUCGGCCACACUGGGACUGAGACACGGCCCAGACUCCUACGGGAGGCAGCAGUAGGGAAUCUUCCGCAAUGGACGAAAGUCUGACGGAGCAACGCCGCGU
rnacentral:rRNA from 1 species